CUAAAAAUAACACCAAAUUAAACGUAAAUGUAUUAUUUAAAUCAACAUAAUUUUAGUGUGCUUAGUACAAUUGUGGGAAUCUAAAAUCGAUGUAAAUAUGUCAUUAAGGCGACAGCACAUACCUGAAGCAAUGACGACGCAUGUCAACAAUACAGGAAUCAGAAGCCGUGUUAUGUCCAGCAUUGUCCGAGUUUCACAAGGUGGAGUUUUUCUUUUCUUUCUUUUUUUUCUUUAUUUCUUUUCCUCCGACAUCUUGUCUCAUCUGUGGCAAAUAUUUCACAAACGUUUUUGAACACGUUUCGACCACUUGCGUAGGAACAGUCGCUAUCCAAGAUGCUUGGUGGAUACAGUAAUUGACCUUGAUAUUGUGCUCAGUGCUGAACUUUGCGGUCUCUGUCAUCAAGAUCUAUAUCUUUUUCUAUUAGGUGCUAGAAUGUUCACAGUUAAUCUUUCCCAUUAUGACGAACCCGGCUUGCAUUUUCUGAACUUCCGCUUCCUGAGGGAUGCAGCAGCAUGUUACAACAGACAGUUACGUCUUACAUAACUGCAGGUUUUUCACCAUUUUCGGUGUUCAAUUCUAAUUAGCUAUAUAUCGCCUGUACUUAUAUUGUGCUCAACUUUCUUCUUAUGUACAAAUCUCAUAUCCUUUUCCUUUGUAUAUAUGAAUAUGUGUAAUACUCUAAUUAUGUAAUUUCUGUAUUGUUCAUGCAAUCUCCCAUGGGAGGAAAUAAAGAAAGAAUGAAUGAAUGAU